GGAAACGAAACUACUCUUCUGGCUGGCACCCUGGCUACAGGGCAAGGAAACACCCAGGGAGGACGGCCGGCCGGCUCUUUGCUAGUGUCAUGGAGUGACCAGAGCCAAGGAUCACUGAGAACAACCUCAGGCAUUUGACAAUAACAAGCCUCUCUUCAUCUUAUGAACUGGAGACUACUACAAUCAGGAUUAAGUACAAAAGUAAAUUGAGAUUCAAUGAAGUUCCUACAGCGAGACAAGAAUGGAUGAAUCUGCUUCAAAUCCCAAU